ensembl:rRNA 5S_rRNA 5S ribosomal RNA
GCCAGCAGCCAUAUCACCCUGCAACUCACAACUGGCAACCCACUGAAGCUAAGCAGGUGUGAGCCUGGUCAGUACCUGGAUGGGAGACCUCCUGGGAAAAACUUGCUGCUGGAA